CUGUCCCGGAAUCAAAGUCAGCACUUUUCUGAAGUUGUUGGUUUCAAAAAGGAGCCUAAAGUGCUAUCUUUCUAAUGUCUGUUAGCCAUUUCAGAACUUUAGAAAUGUAAUGGUCAGUUCACUAAAAAGAAACAAGC
ensembl:snoRNA